UACAGAGGUGGCAAGCGUUGUUCGGAAUUACUGGGCGUAAAGGGCGCGUAGGCGGUCCGAUAAGUCUUGCGUGAAAUCCCCCGGCUCAACUGGGGAACUGCGCGGGAAACUGUCGGGCUUGAGUUCGGGAGAGGGAAGCGGAAUUCCGGGUGUAGCGGUGAAAUGCGUAGAUAUCCGGAGGAACACCGGUGGCGAAGGCGGCUUCCUGGACCGACACUGACGCUGAGGCGCGAAAGCCAGGGGAGCAAACGGG
rnacentral:rRNA from 1 species